GGUUCUUUAUCCAAUCUAAAGAGAAUCAGAUUGGAAAAGGUUUCACUUCCAUCCUUUUUCAUGGCCUCUCUACAAUUGGAGAAGCUAGAAAAGAUGUCCUUGGUUAUGUGUAGUGUUGGUCAAGCUUUAAGCAACUCUGCCAUCCGGAUGCCUAAUGUAGUGGAGAUCAACAUUGACUACUGCAAUGAUUUGGUAGAAUUACCAAAUGGAUUCUGUGAUCUUGUCCGCCUGAGAAAGCUCAGUAUCACCAAUUGUCGCAAACUGUCAGCGCUGCCAGAAGACUUGGGGUUUUUGGA
rnacentral:misc_RNA from 1 species